AUGCCUUUCUUGGACGCGCAGAAAAGGUUUGGCCUUAACAUAGAUCAAUGGUUGACAAUCCAAAGUGCUGAACAGCCCCAUGAGAUUCCUGCUGUUGAAAAAGAAUGGAUAGAAUGUGCACAUGGAGUUGGUGGUAUCCAGGCAGAGAAAGAGUGCAAGAGAGAAUAUGAUGAUUUCAUAGUGUCUACUUCGGCAGAAAAUGAUGAGAUGUGUGAGUACCAUCAGGAAGCAGCAGGAUAAGCUGAUAAAGGAAGGGAAGUGUGACACCCCUCCACCUCACCACGUGGGCAAGCCGGAGCCUCGGCCCUGAGCACAGCGGCUGCUGAUGUCUGGAAGCUGAUUUUCAUGUUCUCUGUUCUCCACUGGAAAGGCUGUUUACGGAAAACCACCUUGUCAAAUUGUGUAAAAAUAAAAGAUUGCUCCAUCCUAAAAAAAAAAAAAAAAAAAAAAAAAAAAAAAAAAAAAAAAAAAAAAAAAAAAAAAAAAAUUGAAAA